UACGAAGGGGGCUAGCGUUGCUCGGAAUCACUGGGCGUAAAGCGCACGUAGGCGGACUCUUAAGUCGGUGGUGAAAUCCUGGAGCUCAACUCCAGAACUGCCUUCGAUACUGAGAGUCUCGAGUCCGAGAGAGGUGAGUGGAACUGCGAGUGUAGAGGUGAAAUUCGUAGAUAUUCGCAAGAACACCAGUGGCGAAGGCGGCUUACCGGUCCGGUUCUGACGCUGAGGCGCGAAAGCGUGGGGAGCAAACAGG
rnacentral:rRNA from 1 species